GAAUUAUAAAUAAAGGGGUAAUACCCCCCUUUUAUAAUUCAUGUCAAACAAACCCUUUUCCCUUUCCUUCUCUCUCUUCCUCUUUCUCGCAAACCCUAAGGCCGCCACCUACCUUCCCCUUCUCUCUCGUCCCAAAAAUGUUUGGUGUGGCUGAGUGUGGGUUUUGGAAGCAGAAAAAGGCUUUCAAGUUCAGUCUUGACCACGACUGCACUUUAAAAAGGCCCAAUAGGGAAAUUCCUUCGAAACUGUUAAGUCCAAGAAGAGAAAAGGGAAGCUAAUAUUAUUGAAGGCCCAGUCAUGUGUGAGAAUGACAUGAAGGCCCAACCAUGGGUAAGAAUGGUUAACUAGGGGUUUGGUACACCCCUAAUCUAUCUCUCCUCCUUUAAAUUGUAUCAUGCCAGUUUCUUUGUUGAUUAAAGUGUUGCAUUUGUAUGUUGUAAAACAAACUCAUACUAUUAUUGGAAUCAUUUAUGG